CCGUAGGACUCAGACUUUGAA
rnacentral:piRNA from 1 species